ACUGAUUGGUUUGUUAUACUAUAGAUGUUGAUACCUAUGGUGACUACCGAGUGUUUAUGAAUUUAAUGUUCUACUUUCCUUGCAUUAGAUGGAACUCUGAUUGGUGGGCAGAAUACUUCUUGGGGCUCUUAUACUUCUCAGACACCCCAAGAAAAUGUCAACAACUGGACUACAGUCUUCUCGCUCAAUCACUAUGUACCGAACUAUGGUAGCUAUUGCUCCCAGGUCCCCAAUUUAUACGCCAAUGGCACGUAUCCAUGGUACGGCAACUACCAUCACCAGCCGCAGCCGCAGCCACUGCAGCCCCA